UACGUAGGGUGCAAGCGUUGUCCGGAAUUAUUGGGCGUAAAGAGCUCGUAGGCGGUUUGUCGCGUCUGCUGUGAAAACGCGAGGCUCAACCUCGCGCCUGCAGUGGGUACGGGCAGACUAGAGUGCGGUAGGGGAGAUUGGAAUUCCUGGUGUAGCGGUGGAAUGCGCAGAUAUCAGGAGGAACACCGAUGGCGAAGGCAGAUCUCUGGGACGGUACUGACGCUGAGACGCGAAAGCGUGGGGAGCAAACAGG
rnacentral:rRNA from 1 species